rnacentral:rRNA from 1 species
AGAGUGAACGCUGGCGGUAGGCCUAACACAUGCAAGUCGAACGGCAGCACAGGAGAGCUUGCUCUCUGGGUGGCGAGUGGCGGACGGGUGAGGAAUACAUCGGAAUCUACCUCUUCGUGGGGGAUAACGUAGGGAAACUUACGCUAAUACCGCAUAAGACCUUCGGGUGAAAGCCGGGGACCUUCGGGCCGGGCGCGGAUAGAUGAGCCGAUGUCGGAUUAGCUUGUUGGCGGGUAAAAGCCCACAAGGCGACGAUCCGUAGCUGGUCUGAGAGGAUGAUCAGCCACACUGGAACUGAGACACGGUCCAGACUCCUACGGGAGGCAGCAGUGGGGAAUAUUGGACAAUGGGCGCAAGCCUGAUCCAGCCAUACCGCGUGGGUGAAGAAGGCCUUCGGGUUGUAAAGGUCCCCUUUUAGGUUUAGGGUAAAAGAAAGUACCCUGGACCCGUAAGUUAAAUUACUACAGGUAGGGAUAGAACGGUAACCCAAAGAAUAAGACACCGGACUAACUUCGUGACCAACAGCCGC